UCAGUGAGGAACACAGACCAAAGCAGUGUGUGACAAACAGUUAAAUGUGGAAUGCAGACUAUAGCAAUUUGUGACAAACAGCCAGAAUAUGGAACACCCUCUUUUCGCACAGUGCAAAAAAGAAUACUACGGCCAUGGUCACAGUCCUUCAAGUAAAAUAUGCACCAUGAAUUGGCAGAAUGGGGAGAGAGCUUGUCUUGUUUGCCUUAUCUGAAGGAGAAGAUCUGGCGGAAAGGAGAUCUGAUUUUCAUUCCAGGGUUAUGGCUCAUCAAGGCAAUCUGUCAUAUACAGCUGUGGAGGAACAGGAAAUACACAACAAUGAAACAACCAAAGGCACACCAAAAGAAGAAACAACGAAAUAAGAUCCACCAAAGAACAAUUUAUUGCAGACUUCUCUCUCUCUCUGACGUCUCAGCCUGAGCCUUCAAGGAGUACAAAUAACUUAAAAUACUAUUCACAUAUAUACACCUCAAUGAUUGAUUAAUUGAUUCAAUUAUACAAUUAAUAAUAUAAAACACCAAAAGUCAAUUUAUAAGCAUUCUCCAAUUAAAAUCUUCAUUUAGACCCUCAGGAAAUAAAGUUUUAAAUUUUAAAAUAAAAACAGCUUCCUUUUGUCGCAGCAAAUGUUUUAUAUUUGAACAAUUGUAUUUAUAAUCUUGUAUUUGCUCUAAAACUGUUGCUUGUAAUCCAUUAAAAUUACUAUUAUGAAAUUGUAGAAAAUGCAUUGCUACAGGACUUUCCUCUUUUUUGUUAACAAUGUCCCUGAUAUGUUCCAAGAGCCUUAUUUUAAAGGCUCUCUUGGUCUCUCCGAUGUAAA